GGAGAAGUCGUAACAAGGUUUCCGUAGGUGAACCUGCGGAAGGAUCAUUGUCGAGACCGAAAUACACAUCGAGCGAUUCAGAGAACCCGUGAAAUAAGCAAACGGCCGUCCUGGUCGUUGCCUCCAUCUCAUCGGGAUGGGGGGAUGGAUGAAACACAAACCGGCGUAGCAUCGCGCCAAGGGAAGACCGAAAGCACGAGCCCCGCGUCGGGCUCUGUGGCGUGGGGUGCUAUUACACACCAUGCGGAUGGACACGACUCUCGGCAAUGGAUAUCUCGGCUCUCGCAUCGAUGAAGAGCACAGCGAAAUGUGAUACGUGGUGCGAAUUGCAGAAUCCCGCGAACCAUCGAGUCUUUGAACGCAAGUUGCGCCCGAGGCCAGCCGGCCAAGGGCACGUCCGCCUGGGCGUCAAGUGUUGCGUCCCUCCGUGCCAGCACCAAUGGGUGUGUCGUGCAUGGCUCGGAUGUGCAGAGUGGCUCGUCGUGCCCGCGGGCGUGGCGGGCUGAAGAGCGGGCUUCGUCUCGCUGGCCGCGAACAACAAGGGGGGUGAAAUGGAGCGCAACCUGCGUUGUCUCGUAUCGGCCCGAGAGAUGGAUUGUGCCUUCGAUGUGAUCCGGCCCAUGCGCCGAUCGACAUGCGGCGGCUUGGAAUGCGACCCCAGGAUGGGCGAGGAC
rnacentral:rRNA from 1 species